AUAAAAAAAACAGGGCAUUUUCUUGGAGUUUUAGCAUCAUGGAUAGUUCAUGUUGGAGUUGAUAUCUACGAAUUCUUUACUCGUGUAUAUAAACGACAAUUUUGAGUUCUUGCAAAGUGGGUUUUUGGAGCCACGAUCAGGUGUGGUGCAUCACUCGUUUUCGCUUCUAUUGGUGGCGGGGUUGGAGCAACUAUUGUUAAUCCUGCAGCUGGUCAAUUUAUUGGAUGCAUUGUUGGAGAUUUUGCAGGACCGGUUGUCGUUAAAUUUUGUAUUAAGAAACUUCGGCUGAAUCUCUAACAGCUCUUGUCUGAAUGAGAAUUUGCAUUAAACUGAUGUUAGAUUAACGGAAAUGCUAUUUGCGG